rnacentral:rRNA from 1 species
UUAGAUUCUAUAGAUCCUAUACCACAUGACUGGCAGGUAGCAAUAAAGGACCCAAGAUGGAGAACAGCAAUGUUUGAAGAGAUGGAAGCACUUGACAAAAACAAUACUUGGAUCCUCACCACUCUUCCUGUAGGGAAAAAGACUGUGGGUUGUAAAUGGGUAUUCACUGUAAAACAGACUCCAGAAGGUAAAGUGGAGAGGUACAAGGCCAGGUUAGUAGCAAAGGGGUAUAGCCAAACCUAUGGAGUAGAUUAUGAUGAAACUUUUGCCCUAGUAGCAAAAAUGAACACCAUCAGAACAAUAAUCUCAAUUGCAGCAAACCGUAAUUGGAAAUUAUUUCAAAUGGAUGUUAAAAAUGCAUUCCUCCAUGGAGACUUGCAGGAAGAGGUGUAUAUGGAGAUUCCUCCAGGAUUCAAUAGCCGUGAGACUAAAGGCAAGGUUUGUAAACUAAAAAAAUCCCUCUAUGGUCUAAAACAAUCACCUCGAGCAUGGUUUGGAAGGUUUAGAAAAGGAUUUUGCUCCUUGGGG